GACGAACGCUGGCGGCGUGCCUAAUACAUGCAAGUCGAGCGAAUCAGUGGGAGCUUGCUCCCUGAGAUUAGCGGCGGACGGGUGAGUAACACGUGGGUAACCUGCCUGUAAGACUGGGAUAACUUCGGGAAACCGGAGCUAAUACCGGAUACGUUCUUUUCUCGCAUGAGGAGAGAUGAAAAGAUGGUUCUGCUAUCACUUACAGAUGGACCCGCGGCGCAUUAGCUAGUUGGUGAGGUAGCGGCUCACCAAGGCGACGAUGCGUAGCCGACCUGAGAGGGUGAUCGGCCACACUGGGACUGAGACACGGCCCAGACUCCUACGGGAGGCAGCAGUAGGGAAUCUUCCGCAAUGGACGAAAGUCUGACGGAGCAACGCCGCGUGAGCGAAGAAGGCCUUCGGGUCGUAAAGCUCUGUUGUUAGGGAAGAACAAGUACGAGAGUAACUGCUCGUACCUUGACGGUACCUAACCAGAAAGCCACGGCUAACUACGUGCCAGCAGCCGCCGUAA
rnacentral:rRNA from 1 species